rnacentral:rRNA from 1 species
GACGAACGCUGGCGGCGUGCUUAACACAUGCAAGUCGAACGGAAAGGCCCUGCUUUUGUGGGGUGCUCGAGUGGCGAACGGGUGAGUAACACGUGAGUAACCUGCCCUUGACUUUGGGAUAACUUCAUGAAACUGGGGCUAAUACCGGAUAGGAGCUCCUGCUGCAUGGUGGGGGUUGGAAAGUUUCGGCGGUUGGGGAUGGACUCGCGGCUUAUCAGCUUGUUGGUGGGGUAGUGGCUUACCAAGGCUUUGACGGGUAGCCGGCCUGAGAGGGUGACCGGCCACAUUGGGACUGAGAUACGGCCCAGCCUCCUACGGGAGGCAGCAGUGGGGAAUAUUGCACAAUGGGCGGAAGCCUGAUGCAGCAACGCCGCGUGCGGGAUGACGGCCUUCGGGUUGUAAACCGAUUUCGCCUGUGACGAAGCGUGAGUGACGGUAAUGGGUAAAGAAGCACCGGCUAACUACGUG